GUAGGUGAACCUGCGGAUGGAUCAUUAACACUUUUCCAAGUACCUAACUCCGUAUAUUAGUAGUAACUAAAAACUCAUUAACACCACACAUAUGUAAACGAGGACCUCCAAGAGCUGGAUGAAAGACAAACGGAACUCUAAAACAGUAGAGCCGAGUAGCCCAGACCCAAGGGAGUACGCUGUAACAGGCGAACGUGACCCAGGGCGAGGGGUGAAAGAUGGCUGUUCCGCCAGUUUAGGGGUGCUGCUU
rnacentral:misc_RNA from 1 species